rnacentral:rRNA from 1 species
AUGAAGAGUCAAACCUGCCCAGUGAAAUAUUUAUUUAACGGCCGCGGUACUCUGACCGUGCAAAGGUAGCAUAAUCAUUUGCCUUAUAAUUGAAGGCUAGUAUGAAUGGUUCGACGUGAGCAGCACUGUCUCUCCUUUAUUUCUUAGAAAUUAACUUUUAGGUGAAGAGGCCUAAAUAUAAUUAAAGGACAAGAAGACCCUGUCGAGCUUAAAAGACAAAAAUAGAAGUUAAUAUCUUUAGAAAUAAAUACUCUAUUAAGCUUUUUAGUUGGGGCGACUAAGGAACAAAUAAAGCUUCUUUCUUAAGACAAGCUAAUUAGCAAAGAUCCAGUAUUUACCACUGAUCAAGAAAAUUAGUUACCGCAGGGAUAACAGCAUAAUCUCUCUUGAGAGACCAAAUCGAAAGGGGGGGUUGUGACCUCGAUGUUGGACUAGAAUAUCCGAAAGAUGCAGACGUCUUUAAAGG